UGGAAGUUGUAGUUUUGCAACAGCUGGAGGGCCGCAGUCUGGAGACGCCUGCAUUACCCUACUCUAUACCUUCUGAGCAAUGCGGUGAUACUCCAGGAGCUGUUUCCCAAUUCCAGUAUGUUACCUGUGGUGCCACAUGUUGAGCAGGUCACUACAUAGUUAAAGAGGACCUUUCAUCAGUUUU